CAAAAGCGUAUAUUAAAGUUGUUGCAGUUAAAAAGCUCGUAGUUGAACCUUGGGCUUAGCUGGCCGGUCCAUCUUUUUUGAUGCGUACUGGACCCAGCCGAGCCUUUCCUUCUGGCUAGCCUUUUGGCGAACCAGGACUUUUACUUUGAAAAAAUUAGAGUGUUCAAAGCAGGCCUUUGCUCGAAUAUAUUAGCAUGGAAUAAUAGAAUAGGACGUUAUGGUUCUAUUUUGUUGGUUUCUAGGACCAUCGUAAUGAUUAAUAGGGACGGUCGGGGGUAUCAGUAUUCAGUUGUCAGAGGUGAAAUUCUUGGAUUUACUGAAGACUAACUACUGCGAAAGCAUUUACCAAGGACGUUUUCAUUAA
rnacentral:rRNA from 1 species